UACGUAGGGUGCAAGCGUUAUCCGGAAUUAUUGGGCGUAAAGAGCUCGUAGGCGGUUUGUUGCGUCGGCUGUGAAAUCCCGAGGCUCAACCUCGGGUCUGCAGUCGAUACGAGCAAACUAGAGUGUUGCAGGGGAGACUGGAAUUCCUGGUGUAGCGGUGAAAUGCGCAGAUAUCAGGAGGAACACCGGUGGCGAAGGCGGGUCUCUGGACAGUUCCUGACACUGAGACACGAAGGCCAGGGGAGCAAACGGG
rnacentral:rRNA from 1 species